ACGACUCUGUGAAAAAGAGAAAUACCUCCUAGAUACCCUGGUAUCUUCGUUGGAUUUCUUAUUUUUCUUUGAGUCG
rnacentral:ncRNA from 1 species